rnacentral:rRNA from 1 species
GACGAACGCUGGCGGCGUGCUUAACACAUGCAAGUCGAACGGAAAGGCCCUGCUUUUGUGGGGUGCUCGAGUGGCGAACGGGUGAGUAACACGUGAGUAACCUGCCCUUGACUUUGGGAUAACUUCAGGAAACUGGGGCUAAUACCGGAUAGGAGCUCCUGCUGCAUGGUGGGGGUUGGAAAGUUUCGGCGGUUGGGGAUGGACUCGCGGCUUAUCAGCUUGUUGGUGGGGUAGUGGCUUACCAAGGCUUUGACGGGUAGCCGGCCUGAGAGGGUGACCGGCCACAUUGGGACUGAGAUACGGCCCAGACUCCUAAGGGAGGCAGCAGUGGGGAAUAUUGCACGAUGGGCGGAAGCCUGAUGCAGCAACGCCGCGUGCGGGAUGACGGCCUUCGGGUUGUAAACCGCUUUCGCCUGUGACGAAGAGUGAGUGACGGUAAUGGGUAAAGAAGCACCGGCUAACUACGUG